CAGCAGCCGCGGGAAUACGGAGGGGGCUAGCGUUGUUCGGAAUUACUGGGCGUAAAGCGCACGUAGGCGGCUUGGUAAGUUAGAGGUGAAAGCCUGGAGCUCAACUCCAGAAUUGCCUUUAAGACUGCCGAGCUAGCAGGUGAGAGAGGUAAGUGGAAUUCCGAGUGUAGAGGUGAAAUUCGUAGAUAUUCGGAAGAACACCAGUGGCGAAGGCGGCUUACUGGCUCAUACUGGACGCUGAGGUGCGAAAGCGUGGGGAGCAAACAGGAUUAGAUACCCCGGUAGUCCCUGUCUCUUAUAU
rnacentral:rRNA from 1 species